rnacentral:sRNA from 2 species
CUAAGGGACCCUGAUUAUAAAUUUAUUUAUAAAAUAGUUAAAAGGAAGUAUUAUAAAUGAUUUUACAUGGGAUUUAUACGAUUUAUGCCGAAGUGGAUUCAAGUACUAUUCAAAUAGUAUUCGAAUAACGGGCAUCAUGCGAAGAAAAUGCAGUACACAGACCCUGCCUGAUGGUACUGGGAUGCUUAAUCUCUCCACCUGCGGGUAGUUCCAAGAUGAUGAACACUCCGAGACAGGGAGUAGACGCCGGCGACAAAAAUUAUGUGUCCGAGGUGAAGAGGAAUCCGCCGUGAGUAUUUCAAGGCUACAAUUAUA